rnacentral:rRNA from 1 species
AUACGGAGGGUGCAAGCGUUAAUCGGAAUUACUGGGCGUAAAGCGCGCGUAGGCGGCUUGUAAAGUUGGAUGUGAAAGCCCUAGGCUCAACCUGGGAACUGCAUUCAAAACUGGCAGGCUAGAGUACAGUAGAGGUGAGUGGAAUUUCCAGUGUAGCGGUGAAAUGCGUAGAUAUUGGAAGGAACAUCAGUGGCGAAGGCGACUCACUGGGCUGAUACUGACGCUGAGGUGCGAAAGCGUGGGGAGCAAACGGGAUUAGAAACCCCAGUAGUCC